UCCUAUAUUUUCAUUUAACUAAUUUUUAAAAUAACAACAACUAUAUCUUCUAAAAGAUUUACAUAAUAUUAUUUUAUUAAAGGGGUUUGCUAACUUGCGUACGUCUGUUUUUCAGUUGGUACAUUUUAGCAAUGUGUAUCGUGGUUUCAGUAGACAAAAAUACCCUUUUAUUAUGAAUUCUAAGUUUUAAGGUUAAGGGUAUUUUAAUAAUUUUCAUUCUCAAAAUUAAAAAAAUUAAAAAAGAACCCCCCCAAACCCUUACCCACCUCUCUUAUUCCUCUCAACCCUUUCUCUUUCAUCUCUUUCACUCCAACCUUUUCUUUUCUCUGUCAUCCUUACUCUAGCCCCAAUUGAAAAAAAAAUCAGAAAUACUUGCCUUAUUUUAAUAAUUUUCAUUCUCAAAACUAAAAAAAGAAACCCCAAACCCUUACUCACCUCCUUCACCCCUCUCAAUCUUUUCUCCUUCAUCUCUCUCACUCAAACAUUUUCUCUGUCAU
rnacentral:lncRNA from 1 species